CAUGGAGGUCAACAGGAGAGUCGGCCCUGAAAGAGAGCGUGCCUCUCCUGGCAUUGUUGGUCACGAACCUGUUAGGCUGGCAACCGAGC
rnacentral:SRP_RNA from 10 species